CAUACGUACAGAUCCCAGAUCUAUCGCCACAUCCACACCACUGCUUCAAACAAACGCAACCACCGCAGCCACACCACCGCAGCCUCCAUCGCCACCGCCUCCGCCUUCCACCGUCGCAGCCACCACCGCCGUAGCAAGUAGAUCUGCCCGCACCAUCCACCACUGCCAUUGCAGUGCGCCUUCGUCCACCUCCGCGCCUCCGCCUCAACCACGGCGACCGCGCCUCCGCCUCUGCCUCCAUCGCCGUCGCCGUCCGCCACCAGCCUACGCCUCCCCCAUUGUCGCCGUCUGUGAUAAGCUUGAAAAAGCUGUGGGGAAGGUACUGGUUGUCUCAGACAUUAAGCGGGAUCUUGGUUACAAAGGAUCUGCUGGGCAUAAAUCAUGGAGAAAUAUCUGCAAUAGGUUGGAAGAGGCCCGUGUAGUGGAGGAGUUUUUGGCUAAAGUGGAUGGUAAAGUAAGUGAGAAGUUUGUGCCGGUACAGGAAAGCUCAUAUGAUCAUAUUACUGUAAAUCAGUUUGUGCCGGCAGAGGAAAGCUCAUAUUACUGUAAAAUAUAGGAAGCAACAACAGCAUCAUAUUGAUAUAGGAAAGCUCCCGGCAUGUUUAAGCCCAUCUGGUUUUGAUUCUAGGGAGCCCUAUGAUCUUCCGUUUGGACCGAUAAUGUUCAAUAAUUCACAGGAGGCUUUGCUUAGAAGAAAGUUAGAGAAGGAAGCUGUGUUGCAGAAAGCCAUCGAUCUUCAUAGCAGUAGCUCAUCACCUGUCAUUCCAGUCUCUUACCAGAGCAACUCGCAGUCACCAAACUAUCAAGUCACAGAAGAAAACAGUAGCCAUGAGGCAAGUUCAGCAGGUCAAGAGAACAAGAGUAGAAGUGAAGAUAGCGGCAAGAAGCAGCGAAGCAACAGCCUUGAACUUCAUAAAAGAGGCCUAGAGCACAUCCUUCUAGGUAAAAUUGUCGUUGCUGCUUCUCCUAUGAAAUCAACUGCUGAAAACCUACCGACCGGAACUGAUGACAGUUUCUCACCAACUCCAGCUUCUACUUCAACCAUAGAAUAUCCCUAAGUUUACUUCACACUUGCUUGUAAUGAAAAAGAAAGUAGCUGAAUAAGUUAGCUGUUUAUCAUUGAAUGGUAGUCUUGCAUGAAACAGAAUAGAACAUUUCUAGUCUUUUAAUUUUGGCUAAAUAAGAUCAGGUUAUUUUCUAUUUAUUAUACACGAAACAAUCCGGGCGAAUGGCAUAUAUUAAUUAAUGUAUUUGUGUGCAUUAUCAUCUCGAUCAGGCUAGCUCUAUAUAGUAGUGCAUAUAUAAUGUUUCUUGAUUUUCUUGAUUUUUUGUUUCUUAUUAGUUAGCUAGCUUGUUCUUGAUUGGUUAUAUAUGAUAAAGCUUUGGAGUUGAGAAGAAGGGCAGUUGUUAUUUAGCAGAGUGAAGAUGGAGGGUGAUAUCUACUGUGAGAUUGAGACCCCAGGGUGAAGUCUAUUAUUAGGAUACACCUUUUUUUACAUCCUUUUUUCUAAAA